AUGGCCCCGGAAGUGAUAAGGCAGGAUUUCCAGGCAGGGGAAGUGGCAUUUAGGAGAACUGGCUAUUUAAGGGGGCGGUCAGUGCUGACACAGACAAAGCAUUCACUGGCUGGGAAUGGCCGCCACCCAGUGGCUCUGAGAACUAGACUUGGAAGUCUGGCACUGGGAGCUGUGCCAACUUGGACCAAACUUUGGGCGCAAAGCACGACGUGGCAGACGAGGAACCACACUAGAACGGGCCACGCCUACCCAAGAUUUACGAGGCCGUCCUUUCCCUCAUGCAAUCGCAAUGGGAAAAGGAGGAAACUAAGGCUCGGU
rnacentral:lncRNA from 1 species